GAUCGAUCAGGUCAUUGUGGUAUGCAGUGGAAUGAUGACUCUUUCUCUUUCUUGUAGAGAAGCUCUUGUUUCACUUUAAUGUGUGUAUGUUCUGUGUGUAGAUGAAGAUCCUGUAUAUCCAUUCUCUGCUGUGUGAAUGUUAUCGGUGCCGUCCUGCUGACCCGCUGGCUCUGAAUAACGAUGAUGUUUGCUUCAUUUGUGACUCUGACGGAGACGAUGACGGACAGCUGGUGUGCUGUGACGAGUGUCCACGAGCGUUCCAUCCGAACUGCCACUUACCACCUUUACAAAACAACGCACACGGGGAGAAAUGGACGUGCACUUUCUGUAUUUGGAGGAUUAACCAUCAAAUGUGGACUCACAUGAGUCUGGAAGAUGCUUUGAACAGUUCUGCAAACCAAAACAUCAUGGUAUACACACACACACACACACAAACACACACACACACACACACACACACACACACACACACACACACACACACACACACACACACACACACAGAGCUGUGGUUCUGAUUCUGUUGUUCCUUCACCAGCGCUGUGAGUAUUUGCUGCUGUGUUU
ensembl:lncRNA